GAUGAAGAACGCAGCGAAAUGCGAUAAGUAAUGUGAAUUGCAGAAUUCAGUGAAUCAUCGAAUCUUUGAACGCACAUUGCGCCCGCCAGUAUUCUGGCGAGCAUGCCUGUUCGAGCGUCAUUUCAACCAUCAAGCCCCAGGCUUGUGUUGGAGCCCUGCGGCUGCCGCAGCCUCCCAAAACCAGUGGCGGGCUCGCUAUCACACCGAGUGCAGUAGUUUACUCUUCGCUCAGGGCGUGUGGCGGGUGCUAGCCGUGAAACCCCCAACUUCUCAAGGUUGACCUCGGAUCAGGUAGGAAUGCCCGCUGAACUUAAGCAUAUCAAUAAGCGGAGGA
rnacentral:misc_RNA from 1 species